UGUGGCAAUGUAACAAAGACAUAGAAGAGCAACAACCUCCUGGUAACUCUAUGGACUUGGGUAAUUAUUAAACUAGUAGCAAUCAUAACAGAUUCAUGUGAAGGGCACCUGCCUCUUCUCCUGAUACCAGAAUGAUGCCCUACCAGAUUCUAACCCAGAAAAUCUGACUCCUUGAGACACAGAUUCUCUGGCAACCAACUGCAUGUGCAUGGUCUUGGCUCAUCUGAAGACCCCUUAUUGAUUUUGCAUCUGGACAUAGUGGGCCAACACUGUAUGAUGUACAAGGUGUCAGUAAAGCCUGCAGGGGAUCCUUAGAUCAUAAGAAAAUGACAAGUCUCAUUGUUCCUGUGGGGGAGCAGACACAGAGACCAAAUGAUUUAACUCUUUCAAGUACUCUGAUACUUGAAGAUCUAGCCAAGUGUCAGGUCCUUACCACUGAUAGACUUCAAGACUGUGGGAACGCAUCUGGGGAACUUUCACCUCAUGGCUUCUAAAAGCAACAGUAAAACAAACAACUGUUUUUGAGAAUUCUUGUAGAUUAUGCAUGACUAGAAAGUACAUGAAAAAGUUGCAAAAAAAUGCUAUUGGAGAACAAAAGUAAAUCUCAAGUUUCUUUAUACUGAGAAUUGGCAUAUUGAUGAGGCCAUCUGGGUGUCUGCAAAGGUGUGAGGUUCAUCAGGGGCACAGAGGAAAAUCAGACCUGUCUUUCUUCUAGCACACCUCAGCAGCCAAUUCAAAACUGCACAGUGAAGCAGGAGGAGACUCUGCAGAACCCUCUUCUUUCAUGCCCACAGAGGUUUACCAAAGCGCUCUUCAGCAUUCCAGGCCCCUUGAAUACAGGCUAAUUUUUUUUUUUCAGAGUCCAUUUAAUUGAUUCUUUUCCCCUGGAAACAAAAGCCAGCC